AAUAUAUACAAUAAUGCCACACUACUAACCUUAUGCCUAACCUUUUUUUUAACUUUUUUUUUUUUUUUACAAUAUAGCCAAUUCUGACUGCAACUGGCCCAUCUAGCAGAAAUCGCUCAGCUCUGCCUCCAGGACAAGAUUCAUCCCAAUAAACACCAACCAUCCAGAUGUCCUCUAGAGCAGUGAUGUUUUGGGGCUGUUGCUGGGCAACACGGACUUUCAACUCCCUCCAAAGAUUUUCUAUGGGGUUGAGAUCUGGAGACUGGCUAGGCCACUCCAGGACCUUGAAAUGCUUCUUACGAAGCCACUCCUUCGUUGCCCAGGCGGUGUGAAACACAACGGGCAAAAUAAGCUGUGCAAAUUAAGCUUUCAUCCAUGUAUACAGCAUCAGUAGAACACACCAGUCAGUACAGUAAUCAAAACGAGAGCUGGCCCAAGCAAGCAAAGGCAGCAGCGCAGUCAUCAACUCCAUGCACCAUUUCUUCACCAGCUACGGAGUUGGGAAAACACGUGGACCUGAAUUGUGAUAACUGCAGUGGCCAAACAAGAACAAGUUUGUGCUCUUCUAUUGUGCCUGGUGGACCAUGCACAAGCUCCACAACAAUCUGGACCUUCACUACCUGAUCACAGACCACACCAAGUUUGCCCCUGACUUGUGCUUCAGCCGCAUCAAGCAGCGCUUCAGAAAGACCAGAGUUAACACUUUGUCUGAGAUUGCUGGUGUUGUGAAGGACAGCACAGUGACAGGGGUCAACGUUCCACAGCUGGUUGGCAUGGAGGAUGGUACGGUGUAUGUGGAAUGCUAUGGCUGGCAACCACACCUGACUCCGUACUUCACUGCCACAGAUCAAGCAGUACCAGCACUUCAGGUAAAACAUUUUUGUAUUUGUAUGAGGUUAUUAUUUUCUAAACUUGGGAGGUGAAUUGAUGUUGUGCAGGGUUGUAAUGUAUUCAGAUUUCUUUUGUUAUUCGCUGUUUUACACCUUCGGUGCUCUGGAGCCUGGUGUUGUCGCCAAGGGGCGUUCGGACUGUCGGGACCAGGUUUCAGCUGAAGCGCAACGCUGACAUCCUUCCUCCCAUAGAUAGUCUGCCUGCAAAAGCACCACCUGGACUGGACAAAGCUAGACAAACUAUCAGGGAGUUUUGCAACGAAGAGGCUAUGGACAUCACAUGCCCUGCACCAAAGUCAAGGGCGCAGGACAGAAACAGGUUCUCCGACUAUAGAUUCCCUUGUUGAUGCGUGGUUCGGAUGGACAAGUUAUCAGCACUAUCUGCAGUGCCUCUAUUCACAUGACUCUCUCCUAACACACACGCCAUCCGUUGCUGAUAUUGUUGAUAUGUGUGGUCGUAACAUGAUUCUGUGACAUUCCACAACAAUAUCAUGUGACCGUAUUAAGUGCCCACCACUUAAAUAUAUGUACUGUACAUGUGUACCUCACUCAGGUUUCAACUCAGGUUGCAUGGCCUUAACUUAUGUAUGGAAUACUAUGUGAUAAGUGCAUGUGUAACAGUAUAUAAAGUAUUCUAAUGUGCUGGUGUGAAAGCAUUUGGGCAGUGAUGUAAAGUGCUUAAGGUAAAAUACAUUAAAGCACUACUUAAGAAGUUUACUUUACAUUACUUUACUAUUCAUAUUUUUGGCAACUUUUACUUCACUACAUUUGUGAAUAAAAUAAUGUACUUUUUACUCCAUACAUUUUCCUUGACACCCAAAAGUACUGUUUUACAAGAAAAUUGAAUUACUUUCCCAUUGUUCCUCAAAAAUGCUGUGUAUGAUACACCAUUUUGUAGAUCUGAGUCUAUUUUUAUCCAAUGUAAAAAAAAAAAAAAAAAAAAAAUUCAAAUGUUGCUACAUCAGACAAAAUCUAGGUGGUGAGUCGUACUUACAUAAGUAUUCAGACUCUUUGAUAAAAGACUCGAAAUUGAGCUCAGGUGCAUCCUGUUUCUACAACUUGAUUGGAGUCAACCUUUGGUAAAUUCAAUUGAUUGGACAUGAUUUGGAAAGGCACACACGUCUAUAUAAGGUCCCACAUUUGACAGUGAAUGUCAGAGCAAAAACCAAGCCAUGAGGUCAAAGGAAUUAUCCGUAGAGCUCAGAGACAGGAUUGUGUCAAGGCACAGAUCUGGGAAAUGGUACCAAAAAACACAGUGGCCUCCAUCAUUCUUAAAUGGAAGAAGUUUGGAACCACCAAGGUACAGAGAGAUCCUUGAUGAAAACCUGCUCCAGUGCGCUCAGGAUCUCAGACUGGGGCAAAGGUUCACCUUCCAACAGGACAACGACCCUAAGCACACAGCCAAGACAAUGCAGGUGUAGCUUUGGGACAAGUCUCUGAAUGUUCUUGAGUGGCACAGCCAGAGCCCGGACUUGAACCCGAUCAAACAUCUCUGGAGAGACCUGGAAAUAGCUGUGCAGCAACGCUACCCAUCCAACCUGACAGAGCUUGAGAAGUUCUGCAGAGAGGAAUGACUGUUUAAUGACUUCCCCAAAUACAGGUGUGCCGAGCUUGUAGCGUCAUACCGAAGAAGAAUUGAGGCUGUAAUCGCUGCCAAAGGUGCUUCAACAAAGUACUGAGUAAA